CCAGGAUUAUUUGGUUCUAAUUCCAAGAGCUUCUUUGCAGCAAACUCACCUCGCGAAACAUCCAAAUUAAGACGGCAAGCAUUCAAAAGCGCUGCCCACACAGCAGUUGUUGGCCUACUGCCAUUUUUCUCCAUAUCACGAAACAGGCACCAUGCAUCUUCCACUCGGCCAGCCCGGCCUAAGAUAUCUAUGAAGCAAGAAUAAUGUUCCACACCAGGGUGUAAACCAUAU
rnacentral:misc_RNA from 1 species